ensembl:lncRNA
GUCGUUGUUGUGUUUUUUUUUUUAAUAUUCAUACACAGCAUUUUAGAUGUUGGGCUAAUGAAUGCGUAAUCAGGUUUUGGAGUUGAAAUGAAGAAAGGAGAGAAGUCGGGUUGGCGAGAACUAAACAAAUUAAAGAGGAAGAUGCAGUUAUUAAACUUUCUUGACCUGCUGACCUGCUGGAUUCAAUUAAGCAAACACACACACUGUCAUCUGCAAGUCAUUUAAAAUCCAUUACCUCUCCACAUUUGUGUGUGCACAGAACAAACACGUCCUUUCCCGACUAGUCCUUUUAUUCACUUACGGAUUCGCUUACUGAUUACAUUUGAUAUAUAUUUAUUUAUUUAGUUAAUUGCUUAUCAUUCACUCACUUGCUCACUCACGCCCUCUCUUCGCCACCCUCGUUCGAGCCUUCAUUCGUGUCGAUUGCAGCAAUUUGCCACACUGCUUCAUGCUAUUGAUUCUUCCAGAGUGUCUCCUACACUACUACAAGGCAAAGUCAGUAGGAUACUCAUCACCAAGGAGCACAGAGGAGGAUCAGUUACAGCCGGAAGACUGUUGACUUUUUGACCAGCCGUAUUUUCAUAAUUGCUGCUGCCAUCAAGCAGUUCCUGACUGCACAUCUGGUAAUAUUAUUACAUCCUCCCUUAGUCUUCUUAAACCUGAAAUACUAGAACUGCUCAUAUUCAUGGCUUUGUUUAGGCUUUGGUUCUGGGUGAUUAAAUUUUUAAAAUAGUCAAUCUAUAAGCAGGGCAAAAUCAAUUCAAGCCUUCUUUCAACCAAUGCAUUCAAACACCCUGACCUCGUGAAAUAUUUGAGGACAAUUCGAAGGUUUGCAUAUACAACCUACAGGUGCGUCUAAAAAAAAAAUUGAAUAUCGUGGAAAAGUUCGGGGGUUUUUUCCAUAAUUUGAUUCAACAAGUUGAAGUUUUCAUAUAUUCUACAUUCAUUACACAUGAAGUGAAAUAUUUCAAGCCUUUUUUGUUUUAAUCUCGAUGAUUAUGGCUUACAGCUCAUGGAAAUCAAAAAUCCAGUAUCUCAAAAUAAUAGAAUAAAGAAUUUAUAAUACAGAAAUGUCGACCUUCUGAAAAGUAUGUUAAUUUAUGCACUCAAUACUUGGUCGGGGCUUUAAUCCUUCUGCACGAAUUACUGCCUGAAUGCGGCGUGGCAUGGAGGCAAUAAGCCGGUGGUACUGCUGAGGUGUUAUGGCAGCCCAGGUUGUUGAGGAGUUAUGGAAGUCCAGGUUGUUGAGGAGUUAUGGAAGUCCAGGUUGUUGAGGAGUUAUGGAAGUCCAGGUUGCUGAGGUGUUAUGGAAGUCCAGGUUGUUGAGGCGUUAUGGAAGUCCAGGUUGCUGAGGUGUUAUGUAAGCCCAGGUUGCUUUGAU